rnacentral:rRNA from 1 species
UAGGGAAUCUUGGACAAUGGGCGCAAGCCUGAUCCAGCCAUGCCGCGUGAGUGAUGAAGGCCCUAGGGUUGUAAAACUCUUUCGCUAGGGAAGAUAAUGACUGUACCUAGUAAAGAAGCCCCGGCUAACUCCGUGCCAGCAGCCGCGGUAAUACGGAGGGGGCUAGCGUUGUUCGGAAUUACUGGGCGUAAAGCGCGCGUAGGCGGAGCGGUCAGUCAGAGGUGAAAGCCCAGGGCUCAACCCUGGAACUGCCUUUGAUACUGCCGUUCUAGAGUCCGGGAGAGGUGUGUGGAAUUCCGAGUGUAGAGGUGAAAUUCGUAGAUAUUCGGAGGAACACCAGAGGCGAAGGCGACACACUGGACCGGUACUGACGCUGAGGCGCGAAAGCGUGGGGAGCAAACAGGAUUAGAUACCCCCGUAGUCC